rnacentral:sRNA from 23 species
CGUUGUCAUCGACAACUGCCAAUGCCCUGGUGAUUUGAGAAGGGCGCCUUCGGGUAAUCACAUGCCAAUGCCACAUAAAACCUGAGAGUGGCGCCUUCGGGUGGUAAACCUGUUUAACCUCUGAGAACAGGUACUCCUGGCGAGUUGAGGUCCAU